rnacentral:rRNA from 1 species
UACGGGGGGGGCAAGCGUUGUUCGGAAUUACUGGGCGUAAAGGGCUCGUAGGCGGCCAACUAAGUCGGAUGUGAAAUCCCCAGGCUUAACCUGGGAACUGCAUCCGAUGCCGGAUGGCUUGAAUCCGGGAGAGGGAUGCGGAAUUCCAGGUGUAGCGGUGAAAUGCGUAGAUAUCAGGAGGAACACCAAUAGCGAAGGCAGCUCGCUGGGACGUUACUGACACUGAGGCGCGAAAGCGUGGGGAGCGAACAGG